GAAGACUGAAACAUCCACCUCAGCAUGAAGCAGAAGGUUGAAGUUGCUUGUUCUUCGCUGCAACCGAAAGGCUGUGGAGAGAAAGCUCCCUCCUCAAAAGAAUGCAGCUGACUGAAAUAAUGUUUUCACUGAAAAACAAAUUGCCCAAGUCCGCAGUUAACGGAGAUAUGUGGCCUGAAGUGAAGAAUUCCAGAAGGAAGGUGCUUACAGGGCUGAAAGUCAGUUGGAAUGAAGAGUGCUGGGUCCAAAGCCAGAAGGAAAUGACAAUUUAAUGACAAUUUUCAUGACAUUAUCUUAUAUUAAAGCUCUUGCACAUAUAUUUUCUUGAUAUACAAUGCAGUGACAUAUCGUCAAAUGUGAGUUGCUGGUGGCAAUUGCAUCAUCUUUCAUUAACGUUACAAGUCCCUAAAGUAUCCCUUUUUUUUUUUUUCCCAACUAUCACCAAGGCAACAUCAAAAGUUAUGCCAAAUAUUUGGAAAAAGAUUAAAGAAAAUAGCUUUAAUGUAAUCAUUACUGCUACAUACAAAUAAAAUUUGUGUCUUUCAGUGGCACCAAAGAAGCCAUUUCUACAUUGCCAUUAUAUUCAUUAUUAAAAAUCUGUUUCUAUCAGGAGACAUAUCUGCCACACUUUCCAAACCUUUAUUAAUUUACCAUCAAUAUAAUCAACAGGGAUUUUUUUUGGUUUUUUUUUGUUUUGAUUUUUUGUUUUUUCCAAAAAAAAAAAAGUGUCAUGGCUUUAUGAAUCUUCUUCUUGGUAUUCCACAUGAUAACAUCAUAUAAAGCAUGGGGAAUUAAAGAGUUCAUACUCCA